GACGAACGCUGGCGGCGUGCUUAACACAUGCAAGUCGAACGGAAAGGCCCGGCUUUUGUGGGGUGCUCGAGUGGCGAACGGGUGAGAAACACGUGAGUAACCUGCCCUUGACUUUGGGAUAACUUCAGGAAACUGGGGCUAAUACCGGAUAGGAGCUCCUGCUGCAUGGGGGGGGUUGGAAAGUUUCGGCGGUUGGGGAUGGACUCGCGGCUUAUCAGCUUGUUGGUGGGGUAGUGGCUUACCAAGGCGUUGACGGGUAGCCGGCCUGAGAGGGUGGCCGGCCACACUGGGCCUGAGAUACGGCCCAGACUCCUACGGGAGGCAGCAGUGGGGAAUAUUGCACAAUGGGCGGAAGCCUGAUGCAGCAACGCCGCGUGCGGGAUGACGGCCUUCGGGUUGUAAACCGCUUUCGCCUGUGACGAAGCGUGAGUGACGGUAAUGGGUAAAGAAGCACCGGCUAACUACGUG
rnacentral:rRNA from 1 species